UACGGAGGAUGCGAGCGUUAUCCGGAUUUAUUGGGUUUAAAGGGUGCGUAGGCGGACUGUUAAGUCAGCGGUAAAAGCCCGGGGCUCAACCCCGGCGAGCCGUUGAAACUGACGGUCUUGAGUGGGCGAGAAGUAUGCGGAAUGCGCGGUGUAGCGGUGAAAUGCAUAGAUAUCGCGCAGAACUCCGAUUGCGAAGGCAGCGUACCGGCGCCGGACUGACGCUGAGGCACGAAAGCGUGGGUAUCGAACAGG
rnacentral:rRNA from 1 species